rnacentral:rRNA from 1 species
GAUGAACGCUGGCGGCGUGCCUAAUACAUGCAAGUCGAGCGAACAGACGAGGAGCUUGCUCCUCUGACGUUAGCGGCGGACGGGUGAGUAACACGUGGAUAACCUACCUAUAAGACUGGGAUAACUUCGGGAAACCGGAGCUAAUACCGGAUAAUAUAUUGAACCGCAUGGUUCAAUAGUGAAAGACGGUUUUGCUGUCACUUAUAGAUGGAUCCGCGCCGCAUUAGCUAGUUGGUAAGGUAACGGCUUACCAAGGCGACGAUGCGUAGCCGACCUGAGAGGGUGAUCGGCCACACUGGAACUGAGACACGGUCCAGACUCCUACGGGAGGCAGCAGUAGGGAAUCUUCCGCAAUGGGCGAAAGCUUGACGGAGCAACGCCGCGUGAGUGAUGAAGGUCUUCGGAUCGAAAAACUCUGUUAUUAGGGAAGAACAAAUGUGUAAGUAACUAUGCACGUCUUGACGGUACCUAAUCAGAAAGCCACGGCUAACUACGUG